rnacentral:rRNA from 1 species
CCUACGGGGGGCUGCAGUAAGGAAUAUUGGUCAAUGGACGAAAGUCUGAACCAGCCAUCCCGCGUGCAGGAUGAAAGCCCUAUGGGUUGUAAACUGCUUUUAGCAGAGAAGAAAAGCUUUCAUUAAUGAGAGUCUGACGGUAUCUGCAGAAUAAGCACCGGCUAACUCCGUGCCAGCCGCCGCGGUAAUACGGAGGGUGCGGGCGUUAUCCGGAAUUACUGGGUUUAAGGGGUAGGUAGACGUAGUAGUUGAAAGCUUGUCGCUUAACGAUAAAAGUGCCAAUGAGACUGGUACUCUGGAAUGGGGUGGAGGUUAGCGGAAUGUGACAUGUAGCGGUGAAAUGCAUAGAUAUGUCAGGGAACACCAAUUGCGAAGGCAGCUAACUGGGCCUUGAUUGACGCUGAGGCACGAAAGCGUGGGUAGCGAACAGGAUUAGAUACCCCUGUAGUC